rnacentral:lncRNA from 1 species
CCAUCUCUCUCUCUCUCUCUCCCUCUGCAGACACACAGAGAGAGAAAGAUAGAGACUUUUUGGUUUGGUUUGUGCCCUGUUUGUUUUCUGAAGGGAAUAAGAUUGCUUCUAGUUCUAGAGAGAGAAAGAGAGGAGGAUUGUGGAGGUGGGUUUGGGAGCUUUUAGAGAGAGAGAGAGGAGGAUUGUGGAGGUGGGUUUGGGAGCUUUGAGAGAGAGAGGAGAGGAGAGGAGAGGAUUGUAGAGGUGGGUUUGGGAGCUUUUAGAGAGAGAGAGAGAGAGAGAGAGAGAGGGACUAAUGUUUUGGUGAGGAAGAGAUUUCAAGAAGGAGAAGAAGG